UACAGAGGUCUCGAGCGUUGUUCGGAUUUAUUGGGCGUAAAGGGUGCGUAGGCGGUAUGGCAAGUCAAGUGUGAAAUCUCAGGGCUCAACCCUGAAACUGCACUUGAUACUGCUCUGCUUGAGGACUGGAGAGGAGACUGGAAUUCACGGUGUAGCAGUGAAAUGCGUAGAUAUCGUGAGGAAGACCAGUGGCGAAGGCGGGUCUCUGGACAGUUCCUGACGCUGAGGCGCGAAGGCCAGGGGAGCAAACGGG
rnacentral:rRNA from 1 species